rnacentral:rRNA from 1 species
UGAGGAAUUUUGCGCAAUGGGGGUAACCCUGACGCAGCAACGCCGCGUGAGUGAAGAAGGCCUUCGGGUCGUAAAGCUCUGUCGAGUGGGAAGAACCCGCAUCAGGUGACAAGGCUGAUGCGCUGACGGUACCACUGGAGGAAGCACCGGCUAACUCCGUGCCAGCAGCCGCGGUAAUACGGAGGGUGCAAGCGUUAUUCGGAAUUACUGGGCGUAAAGGGCGCGCAGGCGGCCUGGUAAGUCAGUAGUGAAAGCCCGGGGCUCAACCCCGGAAGUGCUGCUGAAACUGUUGGGCUUGAGUAUGGCAGAGGGAAGCGGAAUUCCUGGUGUAGCGGUGAAAUGCGUAGAUAUCAGGAGGAACACCGGUGGCGAAGGCGGCUUCCUGGACCAAUACUGACGCUGAGGCGCGAAGGCGUGGGUAGCAAACA